UUUCUGGAUAAUAGGUUUCCAGAUAACGGAUCCCAUAGCUGUAAUAGAGGCAAUAUUCAAGUUCCAUGAAAGAUCAUCUGACAAAUUCACCCCUAAGAACUUCCCAUUUCCCACUAUAUGGACAGUCGUACCUUCGAUGCAUAAUGAGGGGUCCAAGUAUAAAGCUUCAGAUGUCAUUGUCAAUUGUGACUCUUCUGGUCAGCGCAGCAUUGUCCUUUGCCAACAGCUGCCGGCAGUACCGAUUCUCUACCAAUGGGGAACACCUGUUGACCAACAUCUCUCCAUCAAAAUAGGGACCACAACAGAAUACUGCCAUUUCCAGAUGAAGUUCCCUCAACAUAAAGAAACUUGCACUAAUUCCUCCCACGUGACUCUGAUCAACGACACUUCUUUGCUCCUGGAAACAACGGACGUGGAAUAUAAGACCUUUUAUCUGGAAUACGGGGCUGGGAAGGUGGGGAAGUCGGUGGAGGCCAUAUUUGCAGGUUUUUGCCAAAAUAAAUCUGAGAAUCCCAUCCCAACCACUUCCAAUUACAGUUCCAUGUGGCUGGUGAUAGGAGCGAUUGUUCUCGUCUCAAUAGUUAUUUUCAUAGUCGCGUACAUAAUCUAUAGAAGGUGGAAAGCUCCACAGUUCAUCUGUCUACACAACAGAAUUUCAAGAUAAUGCAAUCCAGGAGACACACAAUGGCAUGAACCCACAGGGGAAUCAAGCUUCUCUUGGCCAAUGCCGGCAGUACUUGUUCUGUAGCCAAGGGGAAGAACUCUGGGACGACUAUAUGGUCAUCACAAACGGAAUGGAGAGAAAAUACUGCUACUUCAGAAUGACAAAGCCUAAGGGUACCACAAACUGCACCCGAAACUCCACUGUGACUCUGACUAAUGACACUUGUCUGCUCUUGGAAACAACGGAUAUAAAGCAUGGCACUUUGACUUUGGAAUAUGGCAAAGGACACAAGGGGCAGUUUGCACACUCCUCGCUCAUAGGGUUGUGCGAUGUUGGGAGAUAUGAACCUGAUGCCAGUGGGUUGGUUCGCCCAUCACCAAUUGGAGUUGUUGGAGGCAUCUUGAUGGUAGUGUUAUACCUUAUACUUUGGAUAUAAGAAAUACAUUAAAAGGAACCAAUCACGAGGCUCCUCUAAGCGUGUGGAACGCUCUGAGAAUGAGAGAAAUGGACACGUACCCACUGAGGACAUUGAAAUGGGAGGCUAAGGAGAAGAAGAUGGAGAAGACAUGGCCCAGACAGUAGAAUUAUUAAAUUCUGAUGCUAAUUGCACUGGUUUCUGUGCUGCCAUGUAGUAAUUAUCUGUAUUAAUUACUAA